rnacentral:rRNA from 1 species
GAUGAACGCUAGCGGCAGGCCUAAUACAUGCAAGUCGAACGAUACCAGAGAGCUUGCUUUAUGGGAAAGUGGCGCACGGGUGCGUAACGCGUAUGCAACCUACCUUAAUCAGGGGGAUAGCCUCUCGAAAGAGAGAUUAACACCGCAUAAAAUCACACUUCGGCAUCGAAGAAUGAUCAAAUAUUUAUAGGAUUAAGAUGGGCAUGCGUGACAUUAGCUAGUUGGUGAGGUAACGGCUCACCAAGGCUACGAUGUCUAGGGGAUCUGAGAGGAUGACCCCCCACACUGGUACUGAGACACGGACCAGACUCCUACGGGAGGCAGCAGUAAGGAAUAUUGGUCAAUGGAGGCAACUCUGAACCAGCCAUGCCGCGUGCAGGAAGACGGCCCUAUGGGUUGUAAACUGCUUUUAUACGGGAAGAAACACUCCCUCGUGAGGGAGCUUGACGGUACCGUAAGAAUAAGGAUCGGCUAACUCCGUGCCAGCCGCCGCUGUAACAC